UACGAAGGGGGGCUAGCGUUGCUCGGAAUCACUGGGCGUAAAGCGCACGUUAGGCGGAUUGCUAAGUCAGGGGGUGAAAUCCUGGAGCUCAACUCCAGAACUGCCUUUGAUACUGGUGAUCUUGAGUCCGGGAGAGGUGAGUGGAACUGCGAGUGUAGAGGUGAAAUUCGUAGAUAUUCGCAAGAACACCAGUGGCGAAGGCGGCUCACUGGCCCGGUACUGACGCUGAGGUGCGAAAGCGUGGGGAGCGAACAGG
rnacentral:rRNA from 1 species